rnacentral:rRNA from 1 species
UACAGAGGGUGCGAGCGUUAAUCGGAAUUACUGGGCGUAAAGCGUGCGUAGACGGUUACAUAAGUCGGGUGUGAAAGCCCCGGGCUCAACCUGGGAAUUGCAUUCGAGACUGCGUAGCUAGGGUGCGGAAGAGGGAAGCGGAAUUUCCGGUGUAGCGGUGAAAUGCGUAGAUAUUGGGAAGAACACCAGUGGCGAAGGCGGCUCACUGGCCCGUAACUGACGCUGAGGUGCGAAAGCGUGGGGAGCAAACAGG